rnacentral:rRNA from 1 species
GACGAACGCUGGCGGCGUGCUUAACACAUGCAAGUCGAACGGAAAGGCCCUGCUUUUGUGGGGUGCUCGAGUGGCGAACGGGUGAGUAACACGUGAGUAACCUGCCCUUGACUUUGGGAUAACUUCAGGAAACUGGGGCUAAUACCGGAUAGGAGCUCCUGCUGCAUGGUGGGGGUUGGAAAGUUUCGGCGGUUGGGGAUGGACUCGCGGCUUAUCAGCUUGUUGGUGGGGUAGUGGCUUACCAAGGCUUUGACGGGUAGCCGGCCUGAGAGGGUGACCGGCCACAUUGGGACUGAGAGACGGCCCAGACGCCUACGGGAGGCAGCAGUGGGGAGUAUUACACAAUGGGCGGAAGCCUGAUGCAGCAGCGCCGCGUGCGGGAUGACGGCCUUCGGGUUGUAAACCGCAUUCGCCUGUGACGAAGCGUGAGUGACGGUAAUGGGUAAAGAAGCACCGGCUAACUACGUG